rnacentral:lncRNA from 1 species
GUGCCGCGGCUGAGGGCUGUCGGGCCGCGGGCUCAGGCUCAAGUCCAGGCCGGGCUCGGGCACUGGGGCUCGGAGUUGCGGGACUUGGGGCUCCGGGGGUGGCCCCGGGACCGCCGCGGCUUCUUCCCCGUCCGCCGACUUCAGCUCUGACUCCCCACAACCCAUCAUCAUCUUUGGAGGAAGUGCUGUGGAACAUCAGAUAGAAUGGAUAGCACAGCCCAAAUUUUACAAAAAGGAUUUUAAAGGAAGAUCUCAAUGGUGGAACACUAGAGGCUUUCCUGCUAAAGUUAAGAACAAGCAAAGGCUGACGCAGUUUUGGCAUGCAGGAAGUGUUGGAGCUGAGACUCGAAACUGUCCCCCAGGCCUUGGCCAUGCUGAUAAAUAUCUAGGCCCUACAGGAGUUCGUGUCCAUGAACCCAGUAAACGCAAUUCCUCAGCCUUAAAAUCUAGUCACUGACUCAUUUCAGGCCCCAGCACAGACGAAAACAAGCCAUUCUGUUUGCCCAGUUUACAUUGCGGGUCUCCAAGAAGUGGAAUGUUCACCAAUGAUUUUAAGAAAACAGGGCCUGGCGCGGUGGCUCACGCCUGUAAUCCCAGCACUUUGGGAGGCCGAGGCAGGCAGAUCACCUGAGGU